rnacentral:Y_RNA from 1 species
GACAGGUCCAAAGAUAGUGAGUUAUCUCAACUGAUUGCUCACAGUCAGUUACAGAUCAAAUUCCUUGUUCAGCUCAUUCCUCUCUUCUCACUACUGCUCUUGACUGGUCUAAA